UCCCUUUGAUUUUUAGAAUAUAACUUUCUGACCCCCAAAAUGCGUACUUUGGACAUUGAACCAGAAAAGAAAAAGAAAGAGAGAAAAACAGAGAGAAUAUCAGCCAGAGAAAACGGAAAAAAAGAUAUCAAACAUUGCAGAGGAAAAACAGAGACAGAAGAGCAAAAGAAGUGAAAAAGAAUUGAGAAAAAGUGUGAGAGUUUGUGGUCGGGUCUUCGUUUAGAGUUUCCGGUGAAAACUUUCUUUAUUUUAUAUUCAAUUUAGUUCUUCACAUAGGUUCAUAUCCAAUCUCUGUACUAUUAUUCUUUUAGUUUCGUUGUGAAACGAAGUAUGAAUAAAGUUAGAACUCCAUAAAAUACUUUGGUAGAAUAAUGGCUUUUCAUAUAUCAGGAACUUGCUAUUUAAAAGGUGUCAUUAAUACCUGUGUUCUCAAAGUAGUACUGUUUAUAAUUUGUUUUGUUGAAAUCAUGUUAUAGGUGUAUUUCAGAUUGACAACUCUGC
rnacentral:lncRNA from 1 species